rnacentral:rRNA from 1 species
AUUGAACGCUGGCGGAAUGCUUUACACAUGCAAGUCGAGCGGCAGCACGGGGGCAACCCUGGUGGCGAGCGGCGAACGGGUGAGUAAUACAUCGGAACAUGCCCAGUCGUGGGGGAUAACACUUCGAAAGAAGUGCUAAUACUGCAUACGUCCUGAGGAGAAAGCGGGGGGUCUUCGGACCUCGCGCGAUUGGAGUGGCCGAGGUCAGAUUAGCUAGUUGGUGGGGUAAAGGCCUACCAAGGCAACGAUCUGUAGCUGGUCUGAGAGGAUGAUCAGCCACACUGGGACUGAGACACGGCCCAGACUCCUACGGGAGGCAGAAGUGGGGAAUUUUGGACAAUGGGGGCAACCCUGAUCCAGCCAUUCCGCGUGAGUGAAGAAGGCCUUCGGGUUGUAAAGCUCUUUCGGCAGGAACGAAACGGCGAGCUCUAACAUAGCUUGCUAAUGACGGUACCUGAAGAAGAAGCACCGGCUAACUACGUGCCAGCCGCCGCGUAACAC